rnacentral:rRNA from 1 species
CCUACGGGAGGCAGCAGUAGGGAAUCUUCCACAAUGGGCGAAAGCCUGAUGGAGCAACGCCGCGUGGGUGAAGAAGGUCUUCGGAUCGUAAAACCCUGUUGUUAGAGAAGAAAGUGCGUGAGAGUAACUGUUCACGUUUCGACGGUAUCUAACCAGAAAGCCACGGCUAACUACGUGCCAGCAGCCGCGGUAAUACGUAGGUGGCAAGCGUUAUCCGGAUUUAUUGGGCGUAAAGGGAACGAAGGCGGUCUUUUAAGUCUGAUGUGAAAGCCUUCGGCUUAACCGGAGUAGUGCAUUGGAAACUGGGAGACGUGAGUGCAGAAGAGGAGAGUGGAACGCCAUGUGUAGCGGUGAAAUGCGUAGAUAUAUGGAAGAACACCAGUGGCGAAAGCGGCUCUCUGGUCUGUAACUGACGCUGAGGUUCGAAAGCGUGGGUAGCAAACAGGAUUAGAUACCCCUGUAGUC